AUUAGUUGAUGCAACUGCAUGUAUACAUAAAUGAUCAUGCUACAUUUUUCUCAUAUAUGAUCAGUACGAAAUUGGAAUAAUAUAAGCUAAGGGAAUUAUCAAGAGAGAUUGUGAGAUGGAAAAAGUGAAAUCAUGUUUGUUAACCACCUGACUGGUUGAUAUUUCUUUUGACAGUGGAGUUGACCGUUUUAAACGCCAGUUUGCUCAUCUUGAAGAGUAUCAUGCCAGGGAAGAAAGAGCCACUCCAGUUCUACGACAGAACACUUCUUUGCCCAGGGAGAGGGUCUUGCCUAUUAAAGAAGAAAAGGUUGAUGGAGAGAAGGUUCUUGAAAGACAACAUGCUAGCAGAGAUAAUGAAUCGGCGGUCAGUAAGAGCCCUUCCAUGACACAAGCUGAGGGAUCAGAAGUUACUGUGGCUAGUAUUGAAAAUGGGCUAAACAAGCUAAAUCUAAGCGCUCGUAGCUUAUUGAAGAGUGCCAGCAUCAGUGCAUCCCAAUGUAUUAACGUGAAAACAAGGAAAGAUACUUCUGGGCCAUAACGUGUUGAGGAGUUACCUCAAAUGCUUCAAGAAGUACUAUGGUGCAAGCAGGCAUUUCGAAGAUGAAUCUGUUCAAGGCGCACUUUGAAUGCCUUUGAUGAUUUUCUUCAAUAUCAACUGCAAUUCCAGAUUGCAGCCAUGCUUUAAUUCUGAAACGCACGGAAGUUAUCUGAUGUUCUCCCAUCAGUUACUUAAAUUGUAGCUACUUAAUUUUAUUUUUAAUUUUUAACCAUAUUUCAAAACAACCAGAUUUAAGUAAUUUUCCAUACUUUGCGUUGAAGAAACUUUCAUUAAUUUUUGGAGAGUCUCAGUGCAUGUAAUUUUUAGAACCAUUUCUAAUAUUCAAAUGGCAUUACAUUUGGUAA